rnacentral:rRNA from 1 species
GAUGAACGCUAGCGGCAGGCUUAAUACAUGCAAGUCGAGGGGCAGCAGCUCUGUAGCAAUACAGAGGCUGGCGACCGGCAAACGGGUGCGGAACACGUACACAACCUUCCUUUAAGUGGGGAAUAGCCCCGGGGAAACCGGACUUAAUACCCCGUAACAUUAUGAAGUGGCAUCACUUUAUUAAUUAUAGCUCAGGCGCUUAAUGAUGGGUGUGCGGCUGAUUAGAUAGNGGUCGGGG